GCUGUGUAGUCGAUAAAGAUUUGAACCAGGAUUCGAGCUCCAACAAAACCUCAGUGUUGUCAACUUAAUGAUUUUUGUUUGUAGUAGAUUAAAUAUUAAACAUAUAUAUUUUGGGUGAAAAUAUUAGCUGUUUUUAUGGUUUUGUGAUAUAAAAGGGAUACUAAAUUAUGGUUGUAGAAAUUCUAAUAAAUGCUAUUAACAUCAGAUUCGAACUUGUAGUCUUAAAGUCAUACGAAGCGAGUGACCGGUAAAAAAUAAUGUUAAUCCGAUUCUUGAACCAAUGCAUACAUAUAUC
rnacentral:lncRNA from 1 species